CAGAGGGCAUUGCAAAAGGCAAGCCUGCAAAGCCUUCUUUUGAAGCAAAUCUCACUCUCUCCAUUCCACAAAAAAAAAAAAUACUCAGUUAAUUAGAUAAAUAUACUCCAAUGGAAAAAGCUAUGGAACAACAAAACUCAGAAACAUCAAAGCUACCGGAACAGGUAUAUCUAUUUAUAAUUAUGAAUAGCUAAUUUCAUAAUUCCCAACAAUCAUGAUAUGAUAAAAUAAAUUCAUAUUAGUUACUUUAUAGUAGAAUUAUUCGAAGAAUAAUAUGUUAAGAAGUUUAUUAACAAAGAGGAAACAGAGAAAUAUCCCUAACAUAUACCACCUAAUUAUAAUAAAAUUAGAUUGGGCAAUCAUAUGGUCAUCAUUUGUAAUAUGAGAUUUUUUUGUGAGAGUGAGCGCAACUUGAUUCUUGUACCCAGUGUGCUAGAAAUAAAUUUUUGUAAGCGAUUAUGGGUAACUCUUUUGUUGUGAGG
rnacentral:lncRNA from 1 species